GUGAAUCAUCAAAUUUUUGAACGCAAAUUGCACUCUCUUCGGAUAGUAUGCCUGUUUGAGGGUCAGUGUUAAUAAAAAUCGGUGUGUUUCCGCUUUGUGACGCUCCGGAGGUUGGGUCAUCUUAUGAUAUCCUUUAGGUGUUAAGAGUCUUAAAAUUGACUUUUUUUUGCGCAUUUUAUAUGUACAUAAAUUCUUUUGUUUAUUCGUCUGUCUUAAUGCUCAUAAUCCUAUUAGAUGCUACCAUAUCUUGUGGUUUCGUGUCUAUAAAUUUUUCAUUAUUUGACCUCAAAUCAGGUAUGAG
rnacentral:misc_RNA from 1 species